GACGAACGCUGGCGGCGUGCUUAACACAUGCCAGUCGAACGGAAAGGCCCUGCUUUUGUGGGGUGCUCGAGUGGCGAACGGGUGAGUAACACGUGAGUAACCUGCCCUUGACUUUGGGAUAACUUCAGGAAACUGGGGCUAAUACCGGAUAGGAGCACCUGCUGCAUGGUGGGGGUUGGAAAGUUUCGGCGGUUGGGGAUGGACUCGCGGCUUAUCAGCUUGUUGGUGGGGUAGUGGCUUACCAAGGCUUUGACGGGUAGCCGGCCUGAGAGGGUGACCGGCCACAUUGGGACUGAGAUACGGCCCAGACUCCUACGGGAGGCAGCAGUGGGGAAUAUUGCACAAUGGGCGGAAGCCUGAUGCAGCAACGCCGCGUGCGGGAUGACGGCCUUCGGGUUGUAAACCGCUUUCGCCUGUGACGAAGCGUGAGUGACGGUAAUGGGUAAAGAAGCACCGGCUAACUACGUG
rnacentral:rRNA from 1 species